rnacentral:rRNA from 1 species
UACGUAGGGGGCAAGCGUUGUCCGGAAUCAUUGGGCGUAAAGAGCGUGUAGGCGGCCCGGUAAGUCCGCUGUGAAAGUCCAGGGCUCAACCCUGGGAUGCCGGUGGAUACUGUCGGGCUCGAGUCCGGAAGAGGAGUGUGGAAUUCCUGGUGUAGCGGUGAAAUGCGCAGAUAUCAGGAAGAACACCCGUGGCUAAGGCGGCUCUCUAGUACGGUACUGACGCUGAGGAGCGAAAGCGUGGGUAGCAAACAGG